rnacentral:rRNA from 1 species
GACGAACGCUGGCGGCGUGCUUAACACAUGCAAGUCGAACGGUGAAAGCGGAGCUUGCUCCGCUGGAUCAGUGGCGAACGGGUGAGUAACACGUGGGCAACCUGCCCUUCACUUCGGGAUAACUCCGGGAAACCGGGGCUAAUACCGGAGAUGACCUCUGCGGGCAUCCGCGGCGGUGGAAAGUUUUUCGGUGAAGGAUGGGCCCGCGGCCUAUCAGCUUGUUGGUGGGGUAGUGGCUCACCAAGGCGACGACGGGUAGCCGGCCUGAGAGGGCGACCGGCCACACUGGGACUGAGACACGGCCCAGACUCCUACGGGAGGCAGCAGUGGGGAAUAUUGCGCAAUGGGCGAAAGCCUGACGCAGCAACGCCGCGUGCGGGAUGACGGCCUUCGGGUUGUAAACUGCUUUUCUGUUUGAAGAAUUCGUGACGGUAAAACAGGAAUAAGAGGUUGCUAACUCUGUGCCAGCCGCCGCGGUAA